rnacentral:rRNA from 1 species
ACCCGCUGACGAGCGGCGGACGGGUGAGUAAUGCAUAGGAAUCUGCCCGAUAGUGGGGGAUAACCUGGGGAAACCCAGGCUAAUACCGCAUACGUCCUACGGGAGAAAGGGGGCUUCGGCUCCCGCUAUUGGAUGAGCCUAUGUCGGAUUAGCUAGUUGGUGAGGUAAUGGCUUACCAAGGCAACGAUCCGUAGCUGGUCUGAGAGGAUGAUCAGCCACAUCGGGACUGAGACACGGCCCGAACUCCUACGGGAGGCAGCAGUGGGGAAUAUUGGACAAUGGGGGCAACCCUGAUCCAGCCAUGCCGCGUGUGUGAAGAAGGCCCUCGGGUUGUAAAGCACUUUCAGCGAGGAAGAACGCCUAUCGGUUAAUACCCGGUAGGAAAGACAUCACUCGCAGAAGAAGCACCGGCUAACUCCGUGCCAGCAGCCGCGGUAAUACGGAGGGUGCAAGCGUUAAUCGGAAUUACUGGGCGUAAAGCGCGCGUAGGUGGCUUGAUAAGCCGGUUGUGAAAGCCCCGGGCUCAACCUGGGAACGGCAUCCGGAACUGUCAGGCUAGAGUGCAGGAGAGGAAGGUAGAAUUCCCGGUGUAGCGGUGAA